AUUGAACGCUGGCGGCAUGCCUUACACAUGCAAGUCGAACGGUAACGCGGGGCAACCUGGCGACGAGUGGCGAACGGGUGAGUAAUGCAUCGGAACGUGCCCAGUUGUGGGGGAUAACUGCUCGAAAGAGCAGCUAAUACCGCAUACGACCUGAGGGUGAAAGCGGGGAUCGCAAGACCUCGCGCAAUUGGAGCGGCCGAUGUCGGAUUAGCUAGUUGGUGGGGUAAAGGCCCACCAAGGCGACGAUCCGUAGCUGGUCUGAGAGGACGAUCAGCCACACUGGAACUGAGAUACGGUCCAGACUCCUACGGGAGGCAGCAGUGGGGAAUAUUGGACAAUGGGCGAAAGCCUGAUCCAGCAAUGCCGCGUGAGUGAAGAAGGCCU
rnacentral:rRNA from 1 species